GGAUGAACGCUGGCGGCGUGCCUAAUACAUGCAAGUCGAGCGAACGGACGAGAAGCUUGCUUCUCUGAUGUUAGCGGCGGACGGGUGAGUAACACGUGGAUAACCUACCUAUAAGACUGGGAUAACUUCGGGAAACCGGAGCUAAUACCGGAUAAUAUUUUGAACCGCAUGGUUCAAAAGUGAAAGACGGUCUUGCUGUCACUUAUAGAUGGAUCCGCGCUGCAUUAGCUAGUUGGUAAGGUAACGGCUUACCAAGGCAACGAUGCAUAGCCGACCUGAGAGGGUGAUCGGCCACACUGGAACUGAGACACGGUCCAGACUCCUACGGGAGGCAGCAGUAGGGAAUCUUCCGCAAUGGGCGAAAGCCUGACGGAGCAACGCCGCGUGAGUGAUGAAGGUCUUCGGAUCGUAAAACUCUGUUAUUAGGAAAGAACAUAUGUGUAAGUAACUGUGCACAUCUUGACGGUACCUAAUCAGAAAGCCACGGCUAACUACGUG
rnacentral:rRNA from 1 species